rnacentral:lncRNA from 1 species
CGUCCAGCCACAAAUGGGUCAUCUGUAUCACACCCACUCUCAAAGGCUUCAGGGUCAUCAUGGAAGAUGGGGAAGAAGGACGGGAAGAGCCAGGUGUCAGGAGGACCAGAGUGAACAGGGUCUUCUGGACAGACCUGACCACCCAUGAGCUAACAGCGGUGUGGCUGCCUGAGCGAGACCUGCUAAGAUCGAACUGGUCAAAACUCUAGGAGAGCGGGAGCCCCUGCUCAGGCUGAGGAGCUUCUGACAGUCAGCUCUCAGGAGGAAGAGUCGGUUGUCUUACAGGUUGUGGCCUCUUACAGGUUGAGUACCAUGGAGGCAUACAGUGGACGGCCCCACACUUAAAUUUGAUUCAACCAACUGCUGGUGUGGAGCCCCACAGGACUGGGGAAGCGAGUCUGAGCUUCAGAGGCUGAAGCCUUGGGUGUGGCCCUAGCUGAGCAGCAGGCUAAACCUCUCUGAGCCUCAAAUAUGAACGAAGCAAGUGUGAUCACACGCUGCCAGGAGACCAACAAGAUGAUGAUUAUGGCAGAGGCAGAGAAAUGGAAAUUUCUGCUUGCAAGCCUUAAACUCACUAUGUAGCUGAUUAUCUUCUUGAACUUCUGAUCCAGCUCUGCUAAGAUUACAGGUGUGCUGAAUGGUUUUCGUCUCAUCCUGACACAAGCUUGGGUCACCUGGGAACAGUUAACCUCAAAUGAGAAGGUGCCUUCAUCAGACUGGCCUGGGGUCCAAUCCGCUGUGGGUGGUGUCACCCCUGGGCCGGCAGUCCCCGGUUGUGUUGAAAAGCG